UAGAGUUUUAUCCUGGCUCAGGACGAACGCUGGCGGCGUGCUUAACACAUGCAAGUCGAGCGGUAAGGCCCUUUCGGGGGUACACGAGCGGCGAACGGGUGAGUAACACGUGGGCGACCUGCCCUCAGCUCUGGGAUAAGCCUGGGAAACUGGGUCUAAUACCGGAUAUGACCACAUGUCGCAUGGUGUGUGGUGGAAAGUUUUUUCGGCUGGGGAUGGGCCCGCGGCCUAUCAGCUUGUUGGUGGGGUGAUGGCCUACCAAGGCGACGACGGGUAGCCGGCCUGAGAGGGCGACCGGCCACACUGGGAUUGAGAUACGGCCCAGACUCCUACGGGAGGCAGCAGUGGGGAAUAUUGCGCAAUGGGCGGAAGCCUGACGCAGCGACGCCGCGUGGGGGAUGACGGCCUUCGGGUUGUAAACCUCUUUCGCACCGGGACGAAGUAAUGACGGUACCGUGAGAAGAAGCCCC
rnacentral:rRNA from 1 species